UUCAUUCACAAAACAAAUAAUUAAAAAAAAAAUGGCUUUCUCAUACCAAUCUAUCUGUUUUGUAUUCUUGUGUUUGGUUGUUCUCUCGAUCCCAAAAGUUGCGGAUGCUGAUGUUACACCGAAUAUCGAUUAUUGGAUAGGUUCUUGCAAGACAACUCAAGAGUGCAUCACAAAAUGCCUUAAGGUAAACUUGCAUCACGGAAGAUGUUAUCAAGUGUCACCCGAUUCCCCUGAAAAAACAUGCGCUUGCUCUUAAGUCUUAAAUAAUAAUGUUAUUAAGAUAUUGAAUUGUGGACAUGUUGUCUUUAAAGUUAUAAUAAUAAUAAUAAUAAUGAUAAUAA